rnacentral:rRNA from 1 species
UACAGAGGUCCCAAGCGUUGUUCGGAUUUACUGGGCGUAAAGGGUGCGUAGGUGGUCGGGUAAGUCGGAUGUGAAAUUUCGGAGCUCAACUCCGAAACGGCAUUGGAUACUACCCGGCUCGAGGUUGGGAGGGGAGACUGGAAUUCUCGGUGUAGCAGUGAAAUGCGUAGAUAUCGAGAGGAACACCAGUGGCGAAGGCGAGUCUCUGGACCAAUCCUGACACUGAGGCACGAAAGCCAGGGGAGCAAACGGG